AUUGAACGCUGGCGGCGGGCUUUACACAUGCAAGUCGGGCGAGUGGCGAACGGGUGAGUAACGCAUCGGAACGUACCGGGGAGUGGGGGAUAACUGUCCGACCGGACAGCUAAUACCGCAUAUUAUUCGAGCGGCCGGUGUCGGAUUAGCUGGUGGGCGGGGUAAAGGCCCACCAAGGCGACGAUCAGUAGCGGGUCUGAGAGGAUGAUCAGCCACACUGGAACUGAGACACGGUCCAGACUCCUACGGGAGGCAGCAGUGGGGAAUUUUGGACAAUGGGCGAAAGCCUGAUCCAGCCAUGCCGCGUGUGUGAAGAAGGCCUUCGGGUUGUAAAGGACUUUUGGCAGGGAAGCGGUACCUGAAGAAUAAGCACCGGCUAACUCCGUGCCAGCCGCCGCGGUAAUAC
rnacentral:rRNA from 1 species